AUUGAACGCUGGCGGCAGGCCUAACACAUGCAAGUCGAGCGGAUGAAGGGAGCUUGCUCCUGGAUUCAGCGGCGGACGGGUGAGUAAUGCCUAGGAAUCUGCCUGGUAGUGGGGGAUAACGUCCGGAAACGGGCGCUAAUACCGCAUACGUCCUGAGGGAGAAAGUGGGGGAUCUUCGGACCUCACGCUAUCAGAUGAGCCUAGGUCGGAUUAGCUAGUUGGUGGGGUAAAGGCCUACCAAGGCGACGAUCCGUAACUGGUCUGAGAGGAUGAUCAGUCACACUGGAACUGAGACACGGUCCAGACUCCUACGGGAGGCAGCAGUGGGGAAUAUUGGACAAUGGGCGAAAGCCUGAUCCAGCCAUGCCGCGUGUGUGAAGAAGGUCUUCGGAUUGUACAGCACUUUAAGUUGGGAGGAAGGGCAGUAAGUUAAUACCUUGCUGUUUUGACGUUACCAACAGAAUAAGCACCGGCUAACUUCGUG
rnacentral:rRNA from 1 species